CACCCGGCAGGGAUUCGAUCCCACUCCUGAAGCGGGUGUCGCAGGUUCGAAUCCUGCCGGGGGC
rnacentral:tRNA from 1 species